rnacentral:rRNA from 1 species
UACGUAGGGUGCGAGCGUUAAUCGGAAUUACUGGGCGUAAAGCGUGCGCAGGCGGUUUUGUAAGCCAGAUGUGAAAUCCCCGGGCUUAACCUGGGAAUGGCAUUUGGGACUGCAAGGCUCGAGUGCGGCAGAGGGGACUGGAAUUCUCGGUGUAGCAGUGAAAUGCGUAGAUAUCGAGAGGAACACCAGUGGCGAAGGCGAGUCCCUGGACAGGUCCUGACGCUGAGGCACGAAAGCUAGGGGAGCAAACAGG